GCGCCCCCUGCCCGCUGUGCGCCGGGCCGCCUCGUGGACGAGGCCGUCUCCGCAGGGACCCAGCGCCCCUCCAAAGUAGGGGACACUCCCCACCGCCUACUGCAGCUCUGCCAGCGACGUCCACUAACUCUGUACCUCUCUCCGGUGCCACACAUCCCGGCCCCCGUCCCCGCACCUCCUCUUUAUCCCACCCCAGCCUGACCCCUAGUCACCCACCCUAGUGUCCAGGACCUUGGGGUCCCGCUGAGAAGGGGAUGAGAGGCAGCUACUUCCUUCUUCCACCUUUGCACGAUGCCUAAGUACGCGAACACGCCCAAGCACCACCCACAACGAUCUCAGUGGGUCCAGCCUCUGAGGGGCAGGGAGGGCCAUGCCGUGGAUAGAAAGACCUGCGUGUGAAUUCUUCCUCCACCAUUUAUUACCCGUGUGACCCAGGGUGAAGCCACUGCAUUAGUCGAUGCCUUACCCCACACUGCACAGCUGGCUAAAAGAGAAAGAACCCUCUUCUGGACUCCUUGGGCAUUGGCCCUGCCACCCCCACCCCAGCCUCGAGGGUCUUGGCCCUCUGACAGCAUCUGAGAAACUAUGGGUGUAAUCAUCCAGGGCACAGAAGCGAUCCCUGUCCAUCUUGAGGGGGUCUCCCCUUCGGGGCUUCCUUCUCUGCCCAUUCUGGCCAAGCUCUAACCCUAACCCUAACCCUCAUCCUCAGGGGGGCUGCUCCCCAUCCCGACCCACCCCCAUCAGCUGUAAUGCAAGGAAUCUUUUCACGGAAAGCCCCACUGUCCUGGAAACAGAUUUCCACCUGAAGAGCUGGCUACCAGGAGGUGGCAUGAGGGCAGGGAGAUUGAGAAGCUCCUUGACAGGAAAAGAACCUUCUGUACUGAAGAAUCAAUGUGGACACCUGCUUGGAGAAGGGUCUCAAGGGAGCAGGGGAGGAGGAUCCCGGGCUCCUCCAGUCCUCAGUGUCUUCAUCUAGAAAAUGGAAACACAAAAAGGAGCGAUCUCCUUGCGUCGUUGUGGGGACUAAGGGGGAAAAGAAAUGGAGAGCACUUGGCAAAGUCACAGACACGUGUGCUGGUUUUCCUUUCCCUCAAGGUUUGGAUCCUUUAACGGAAACACAGAGCUGGUGAACUGCUUGGGCCGGGGAACAGUCACACCCUCCCAGGGGAAUCUGUUAUUAGGAAAUGUUACCAAACCUAGAGACGAGGCCAAGACAGAAAGUGCACGCUCGAAGUGCUGUUCAACAGGCUUGCCCACGUGAAUGUACCACGGUGGUUUGUUAGUUGCCGUUAGCGAAGGGCAC